UCUUACAGGUGAACAAAGAAAGUGGUUUCUUGAGAUGGAAUCUACACCUCGUGAAAAUGCUGUGAA
rnacentral:pre_miRNA from 1 species